rnacentral:rRNA from 1 species
CCUACGGGAGGCAGCAGUGGGGAAUCUUGCGCAAUGGGCGAAAGCCUGACGCAGCGAUGCCGCGUGCGGGAUGAAGGCCUUCGGGUUGUAAACCGCUUUCAGCAGGGACGAAAUUGACGGUACCUGCAGAAGAAGCCCCGGCCAACUACGUGCCAGCAGCCGCGGUAAUACGUAGGGGGCGAGCGUUGUCCGGAUUUAUUGGGCGUAAAGAGCUCGUAGGCGGUUCGAUAAGUCGGAUGUGAAAUCUCCACGCUCAACGUGGAGGGGCCAUUCGAUACUGUCGUGACUCGAGUCCGGUAGGGGAGUGUGGAAUUCCCGGUGUAGCGGUGAAAUGCGCAGAGAUCGGGAGGAACACCCGUAGCGAAGGCGGCACUCUGGGCCGGUACUGACGCUGAGGAGCGAAAGCGUGGGGAGCAAACAGGAUUAGAUACCCUGGUAGU